UACGUAGGGAGCAAGCGUUGUCCGGAAUCAUUGGGCGUAAAGCGCGUGUAGGCGGUCCGGUAAGUCCGCUGUGAAAGUCGAGGGCUCAACCCUCGAAUGCCGGUGGAUACUGUCGGGCUAGAGUGCGGAAGAGGCGAGUGGAAUUCCUGGUGUAGCGGUGAAAUGCGCAGAUAUCAGGAGGAACACCUAUUGCGAAGGCAGCUCGCUGGGACGGUACUGACGCUAAGGCGCGAAAGCGUGGGGAGCAAACAGG
rnacentral:rRNA from 1 species